rnacentral:rRNA from 1 species
UACGGAGGGUGCAAGCGUUAAUCGGAAUUACUGGGCGUAAAGCGUGCGUAGACGGUUAUUUAAGUCAGGUGUGAAAGCCCAGGGCUCAACCUUGGAAUUGCAUUUGAGACUGAAUAGCUAGGGUGCGGAAGAGGGAAGCGGAAUUUCCGGUGUAGCGGUGAAAUGCGUAGAUAUCGGAAGGAACACCAGUGGCGAAAGCGGCUUCCUGGUCCAGCACCGACGUUCAGGCACGAAAGCGUGGGGAGCAAACAGG